GACGAACGCUGGCGGCGUGCCUAAUACAUGCAAGUUGAGCGCUGAAGGUUGGUACUUGUACCAACUGGAUGAGCAGCGAACGGGUGAGUAACGCGUGGGGAAUCUGCCUUUGAGCGGGGGACAACAUUUGGAAACGAAUGCUAAUACCGCAUAAAAACUUUAAACACAAGUUUUAAGUUUGAAAGAUGCAAUUGCAUCACUCAAAGAUGAUCCCGCGUUGUAUUAGCUAGUUGGUGAGGUAAAGGCUCGACAAGGCGAUGAUACAUAGCCGACCUGAGAGGGUGAUCGGCCACAUUGGGACUGAGACACGGCCCAAACUCCUACGGGAGGCAGCAGUAGGGAAUCUUCGGCAAUGGACGAAAGUCUGACCGAGCAACGCCGCGUGAGUGAAGAAGGUUUUCGGAUCGUAAAACUCUGUUGGUAGAGAAGAACGUUGGUGAGAGUGGAAAGCUCAUCAAGUGACGGUAACUACCCAGAAAGGGACGGCUAACUACGUGCCAGCCGCCGCCGUAA
rnacentral:rRNA from 1 species